AUUUAAAUAGUUUAAUUAAAACAUUAUAUUGAAGAUAUAAAAAUAAAAAUUUUUUUUUAAAUA
rnacentral:tRNA from 1 species